rnacentral:rRNA from 1 species
GAUGAACGCUGGCGGCGUGCCUAAUACAUGCAAGUCGAGCGAACAGACGAGGAGCUUGCUCCUCUGACGUUAGCGGCGGACGGGUGAGUAACACGUGGAUAACCUACUUAUAAGACUGGGAUAACUUCGGGAAACCGGAGCUAAUACCGGAUAAUAUAUUGAACCGCAUGGUUCAAUAGUGAAAGCCGGUUUUGCUGUCACUUAUAGAUGGAUCCGCGCCGCAUUAGCUAGUUGGUAAGGUAACGGCUUACCAAGGCAACGAUGCGUAGCCGACCUGAGAGGGUGAUCGGCCACACUGGAACUGAGACACGGUCCAGACUCCUACGGGAGGCAGCAGUAGGGAAUCUUCCGCAAUGGGCGAAAGCCUGACGGAGCAACGCCGCGUGAGUGAUGAAGGUCUUCGGAUCGUAAAACUCUGUUAUUAGGGAAGAACAAAUGUGUAAGUAACUAUGCACGUCUUGACGGUACCUAAUCAGAAAGCCACGGCUAACUACGUG